rnacentral:tRNA from 1 species
GACUAUGGCUCAGUGACAGAAUGUCUGUUUGGCAUGCAGAAGGCCCUGGGUUCAAAGCACGGCAUAUCCA